AUACUCGCACAGUUUGUAUUUCAAUCCGCAGAGUUACAGUGAAUUUCGAGAUGAAGUUUCCUCGAUUGUUUUUCGUGCUUUUGAUAUUAUUGUUGGCACUUUCAGUUUCUAAUGGCGAUAUUUGGAAGCGUUUGAAAAAUAGAUUCAAAAAAUUGCUUCCGAAGAAACCUGUCUACAUUCCAAUUAUCUCUCAUAAGUUCUGACGGGUAAUUUCUUACAUCUUGUGUUAUUUUACUUUGAAUUUUUCAAUUUCAAAUACACAAGCAAAAUUAUCUACCUGUAUUUUACAGUAAAAAUUGCUUUUCACAUAGCAAGAAUCAAUCCUGACAUAUUGUAUACUUUAAUCAACAGUUCAAAAUAAAACAUUUACAAAAUGAAUAAACUUUCACAAUAUUAAACAAAAAAA